CAGCCGCCACGGGAAUACGUAGGGUCCGAGCGUUGUCCGGAAUUACUGGGCGUAAAGAGCUCGUAGGUGGUUUGUCGCGUUGUUCGUGAAAACUCACAGCUCAACUGUGGGCGUGCGGGCGAUACGGGCAGACUGGAGUACUGCAGGGGAGACUGGAAUUCCUGGUGUAGCGGUGGAAUGCGCAGAUAUCAGGAGGAACACCGGUGGCGAAGGCGGGUCUCUGGGCAGUAACUGACGCUGAGGAGCGAAAGCGUGGGGAGCGAACAGGAUUAGAUACCCCAGUAGUCCCUGUCUCUUAUAC
rnacentral:rRNA from 1 species